rnacentral:lncRNA from 1 species
CGGGGGUCUGGUGCGGAGGGCCAACUUCUGGGAAUAACCUGGCUGUGGGCUUAAAAAUCGUAGUCAUUCAUUAUCACGGGCUUCUCUCUCUCGAAUACCUUUAACAUUUAUCGCCUUGUUAGUCUCCACAUCCACCUCCGUGAAAGAAUCCGAAAGUCAUCUGAGUUGGCUAUCUGCACGUUCUCUCUGUACCAGUGAACUUGAACUGUGGCUGUGGUCUGGAUUCUGCAUUCAAACAUGACCGACUGACCUCUGGUUGUAGGGAUGUCUUGAAGAUGCUGAAGAACAAACACAGAGUUCAGAGGAUGGAAGAAACUGUUAUACCAUCUACAAUGAUUUGAAAUGCCAUUUGCAACUGCAGUUGACCGUGGGUUAUUGAAACCACAGAAAGUGAAACUGGAUAACUAAGGGAAACACUAUCCCAGCCUCAACAAGGAGCUUGAUUUGGGCACAGAAACAGGAGAAAGAGACCUGCCUUGCCUCCCUUAUCCAACAGGAAGCAUUCGUCGUCUUCUGUCUUCAAUUUAUUGCAUGAUCACAUUUAUUGCAUGGGUGGCUUCAGGAAGGAUUUUAGGGAUUCCUGGAAAUAAUCAGUCUUGAAAUACUCCCCUCUUCUUCCUUCAUCUAGGAUGCUUCCUCUUCUCUCAAUAUAUUCUCACUUAUGGGUAUAAAGGUAA